GGUGAGUGGCCAGAUCAGUUGGCAUGGGCCUCUUCAAAGUUACUACGUAUUUUUUUGAGUGAUGUGAAGAGGUUAUCUUUUACUAAUGAUGUUCCAAACGUGCAGGUUAACUCUGUUUGGAUCUGGUCUUUACGUGUGCCUUUACAAGUCAAAACAUUUCUGGUGGAGACCGGUAUGGAACCAGUUGCCUUGUAAAGAUAUCCUCAGCCAUUCCAACAUAAUUCCUAUAAAUGAAAAGUAUUGUGAUGUUUGCCCUAAUCAAGUAGAGGAUUGUGAGCAUCCUAUCCUCC
rnacentral:lncRNA from 1 species